rnacentral:tRNA from 1 species
AGUAAGAUGGCUGAAGUGAAAGGCGGUGGUUUGUAAAACUAUUUAUAGGAGUAUUCCUUUUUACU